rnacentral:rRNA from 1 species
GACGAACGCUGGCGGCGUGCUUAACACAUGCAAGUCGAACGCUGAAGCCCUUUCGGGGGUGGAUGAGUGGCGAACGGGUGAGUAACACGUGGGUAAUCUGCCCUGUACUUCGGGAUAAGCCUUGGAAACGGGGUCUAAUACCGGAUAGGACCUGUCCUCGCAUGGGGGUGGGUGGAAAGUUCCGGCGGUAUGGGAUGAGCCCGCGGCCUAUCAGCUUGUUGGUGGGGUAGUGGCCUACCAAGGCGACGACGGGUAGCCGGCCUGGGAGGGUGAACGGUCACACUGGGGCUGAGACACGGCCCAGACUCCUACGGGAGGCAGCAGUGGGGAAUCUUGCGCAAUGGGCGAAAGCCUGACGCAGCAACGCCGCGUGGGGGAUGACGGCCUUCGGGUUGUAAACCUCUUUCGACAUCGACGAAGGGGCCCUGUUGUGGGGUUUUGACGGUAGGUGUAGAAGAAGCACCGGCUAACUACGUGCCAGCCGCCGCCGUAA